rnacentral:lncRNA from 1 species
UGCGGGUGGGUGUAGGCCGUGGCGUGUGGCGUGGCGGCGCGGUGUGUCAGAAUGCGUAGGUAGUGUGUGGGGUUACCGGCAACAUGGCAACGGCAUUCUGUUCAGAGUCAAGGCAAGCAUAGCCGGCAAACCGUGGCCGCGCGCACGAGCCUAGGCCGAUGCUACAUACCACCAUCGCUAACGUAGUCUCCCACCCACCCACCUGCUCCUUCCCGCCAUCCCACUCUAUCCUCCUCGCUCUAUUGCACUGGGUUCAGUUUAGUUUGGGCUGGAAACCACCCUCACACUCACUUCCAGUUGUAAAUGAGUACGUCAUCCUCCUCCAGGAUGUUCUUGGCCUUGUGCAGGUUGCGCCGGGCCUCGGACACGAAGAAGUUGGCCACCUCCUGGCUCAUGCGGAUCUGUUGAUAGAUUUGGGGGAAACGCACGGGGGAAACGGAAAGGUUGUAAAUACCAGCCCAACCCAAACUGAAGCAGGCCAAGUGAAGCGACGGGGGGCGGGCAAGGAAAGCGCGCGGCAAUCGAGGGCGACAGUGAGGCGGGGAACAGGGGGGCCAGCGCGCGUGCAGGGGGAUGGCAAUGGCAAGGGCGUGCGAGGCAAGGUGGCGAGUGGAAGGGGAGACGGGGGUUGCAAAGCACGUACCGCGUCGGUGGUGUGGGGGAUGUGCAGGUGCGGCGUCCACUCGUAGGCGUUCUUCUCCGGGUGCCACUGCGUGGC